rnacentral:rRNA from 1 species
UACGUAGGGUGCGAGCGUUGUCCGGAAUUACUGGGCGUAAAGAGCUCGUAGGUGGUUUGUCGCGUUGUCCGUGAAAACUCACAGCUUAACUGUGGGCGUGCGGGCGAUACGGGCAGACUGGAGUACUGCAGGGGAGACUGGAAUUCCUGGUGUAGCGGUGGGAAUGCGCAGAUAUCAGGAGGAACACCGGUGGCGAAGGCGGGCAUCCUGG